UCCUCAGUCAGACCAGCAGAAACUGGACCAGCAGCACAACAAGGUAACACGUCUGGUGAACAGGUCAGAGUUCAUAUCCUCAGUCAGACCAGCAGAAACUGGACCAGCAGCACAACAAGGUAACACGUCUGGUGAACAGGUCAGAGUUCAUAUCCUCAGUCAGACCAGCAGAAACUGGACCAGCAGCACAACAAGGUAACACGUCUGGUGAACAGGUCAGAGUUCAUAUCCUCAGUCAGACCAGCAGAAACUGGACCAGCAGCACAACAAGGUAACACGUCUGGUGAACAGGUCAGAGUUCAUAUCCUCAGUCAGACCAGCAGAAACUGGACCAGCAGCACAACAAGGUAACACGUCUGGUGAACAGGUCAGAGUUCAUAUCCUCAGUCAGACCAGCAGAAACUGGACCAGCAGCACAACAAGGUAACACGUCUGGUGAACAGGUCAGAGUUCAUAUCCUCAGUCAGACCAGCAGAAACUGGACCAGCAGCACAACAAGGUAACACGUCUGGUGAACAGGUCAGAGUUCAUAUCCUCAGUCAGACCAGCAGAAACUGGACCAGCAGCACAACAAGGUAACACGUCUGGUGAACAGGUCAGAGUUCAUAUCCUCAGUCAGACCAGCAGAAACUGGACCAGCAGCACAACAAGGUAACACGUCUGGUGAACAGGUCAGAGUUCAUAUCCUCAGUCAGACCAGCAGAAACUGGACCAGCAGCACAACAAGGUAACACGUCUGGUGAACAGGUCAGAGUUCAUAUCCUCAGUCAGACCAGCAGAAACUGGACCAGCAGCACAACAAGGUAACACGUCUGGUGAACAGGUCAGAGUUCAUAUCCUCAGUCAGACCAGUAGAA